UGUGCUGUCUCCGUUGUUAAACGUGCUGACCGUACUGUGAAUUACCUGAGCAUUUGGAGUUGUCUCCCAUUUACUUACUUUCGUUUUUGUUUACAUCAUGGACACCGCAUGGAAAUUUGUUGCUAUAUGUCAGCACAGUGUAAGUAAUAUACGACAUCAUACAUUUAUUUGAACUUCUCUUAUAUGGACAACAUCGGUCAUAUGCAUAAUCGGUAUAAAUUAUGCUUCCAAUGGACCAGGCAACCGAAAUGCUACCGUUCAGCAGCCGACCUACUUUGAACCUACGAAAACUUACCACAAACUAUUACCGGAGUAUACUUACCUUAUAAACAGUCCUACACAUUGAUUUAUUAUACUUACCUGAACUAUUUACCCGAUUUUUUGUGAAAUAUUGUGGCACAGUGGAACUCUGUUGAAAAAACAAUCUAUGGAACGCCAAUUUAACACUAACAGUUUACAAAAUAUAGACAUUUGCUUGAUUGUGUGUUUUAUAAAUGAAAACGAGUAUUUUAUGUUUACUUAUGAUGUUCUUUAUAUUUUGUAGCUUUUUACCAUAAAGUUUGAGGAAUAAAGCAUUUAAACUCAACUGGUUAGCUUACUGUUAUUGCAAGCGACUUUGUGACAGACAGUACAGUAAAAAGACUUUUACACAUAUAACAAGGAACCAGGUCAGGAAUACUAUACAGGAAGGGACUAUUUGUCAAGCCUACACAGUAUUUUUGGA
rnacentral:lncRNA from 1 species